UAGGGAAUCUUCGGCAAUGGACGGAAGUCUGACCGAGCAACGCCGCGUGAGUGAAGAAGGUUUUCGGAUCGUAAAGCUCUGUUGUUAGAGAAGAACGUUGGUAGGAGUGGAAAAUCUACCAAGUGACGGUAACUAACCAGAAAGGGACGGCUAACUACGUGCCAGCAGCCGCGGUAAUACGUAGGUCCCGAGCGUUGUCCGGAUUUAUUGGGCGUAAAGCGAGCGCAGGCGGUUCUUUAAGUCUGAAGUUAAAGGCAGUGGCUUAACCAGUGUACGCUUUGGAAACUGGAGGACUUGAGUGCAGAAGGGGAGAGUGGAAUUCCAUGUGUAACGGUGAAAUGCGUAGAUAUAUGGAGGAACACCGGUGGCGAAAGCGGCUCUCUGGUCUGUAACUGACGCUGAGGCUCGAAAGCGUGGGGAGCAAACAGG
rnacentral:rRNA from 1 species